rnacentral:lncRNA from 1 species
UUUAAUUUGGAUAAUCUGGACAACUAGAUUUGAUGGGCAGGAAUACCAUUAUCCAUGUCUGGCUUCACUAUGCACAAAAACCUGACUUGUUUACGAAGAAAAGGGUGCCAUAAGAACUGGGAGCACUGCUGUCUUGAGGGGCUCUGUCUCCCUCUGCUCUUAUAGCCAAGCACCUGCAGGUCCAGUGACCACCUACUUAGCUCUACCAAGGUUCUAUAUAGGGAACCUCCCAAGGGCACGGAGUACAUACCUGUCACAGAGUCACACUAUGACUUCAAGGGGGACGUGGAAAUUAGGCAGCCCUGACUUCCAGAUAGCUCUUCCAUUACCACAGCAUCUGAAUCUUCUGAAACCAAAUGUUGUGAAAUAUUUCCAGCCAUGUGGAAGCUGCAGAAUCACAGCUCAUACUUCGGGGGCCACGAUCAGCAACUCGGGUGGACUUCAGAGCCAGCAACAGCUCUUGGCUGUGCAGGGGUGGAAGAGCCUGCCAAGUUGUGUCUGUAUUGCAUGACCCAGUGUUUGCAUGCUUUAUGCAACAACAGUUACAGGCCCACCAAGCCCCUUCAGUAAAACCAUAUUUGUUUGAAUUAGCAUGCUUUGUAAAAAUAUCUCUUUAUCUCCUAAAGUCAACUUUGAGAGAGCUCACAGGUUAGGAUUAUAAUGUGCUGUUCUCUAGUCUCCAAGUUUCUCUGUUUUGGUCUGCUGUUAAUACGCUCAGAUAUGAACAUAAAACAUUACAUUCUUCUCUGAACAAUUCAAGAAGCACGAUCAAGGUCACAGAAAUCACUCCAGGAGGUCUGAGCUCAACAUCUGCCAAAGCAUUAGAGAAAACGUGUUUUUUCCAGGAAACACAACAGAAGAAUUCAGGUCAGAUUACUGAACUGGAAAUCAAAGGCCACAAUGAUUCCUGAGACUUAUUGAAAUGCGAUAAAAACAAGAACAAAUACAUUAACCUUCAAACUAGGAUACACUGUGAAUAAAUCCAUUGCUGGCUAGAGAGGUUGCUGCA